UCGUUUUCGACGGCCUGCGCGUGCGCGCCGCUGUGCACUGUGGGGCCGGCGCUGCCGAGCGGGACGCUCCUCGCCGCCUGGCGAGGUGGGGAGAGGCUAUGAGGCCUGUGGCCACCCGUCCGCCGGGGUCCUGACACCCGGGACGGCCGGCGGCGAGAGGGGCGCUCGCCGGGGUGGCCGUGCUCUCUGUUCGCCUGCUGGGCUCGCCCCCGGGCCGUGGUUCUCAGCAGUGCCCUGGACUGCGGCCUGCCCUCAACAGAUUGGAUAUAACCAUCCACAUUGGAGAGGACCACCUGCUUUAUUCAGUCUACCAAUUCAAAGACUAAUCUCUUCUGGGAACACCCUGACAGACGAAUUCAGAAAUAAUUUUUAACCAGCUACCUGGGCAUUUUGUAGCCUAGUCAAGUUGACACAUAAAAUUAACCACCUUUGCAGCCAGGGUGGUGGACUUUCAUCUUCACGUGGCUGUAAUAAGAAACUUCGGAAGCUAGAAGACAGUGGGCAGAUGCAUUCUAAGUGCUCAAAGAAAAUCUCUCAACCGACAACUCUAUAUCCAGCAAAACUGUCCUUCAGAAGUGAGGGAGAAAUCAAGACAUUACUUGAUAAAAGCUGAGGGAGUUUGUGACCACUAGACCUGCUCUGCAAGAAAUGCUUAAGGGAACCCUGCAAAAUGAAAGGACACUGGACAUUAGCCUGAAGCCAUGAGGAGAAAUAAAGAUCUCAGUAAAAAUAAACACAUGAACAGUUAUAAAAGCUAGGAUUAUUGUAAUAGCUUGUAACUGUGCUUUUUCUUUUUUAUGGAAUUUAUGAUACUAAUGCAUUUAAAUAAAAAAUGCUAAUGUAA